UACGUAGGGGGCAAGCGUUGUCCGGAUUUAUUGGGCGUAAAGAGCGUGUAGGCGGUUAGAUAGGUCUGCUGUGAAAACUCCAGGCUCAACCUGGAGACGUCGGUGGAAACCAUCUAGCUAGAGUCCGGAAGAGGAGAGUGGAAUUCCUGGUGUAGCGGUGAAAUGCGCAGAUAUCAGGAAGAACACCCGUGGCGAAGGCGGCUCUCUGGGACGGUACUGACGCUGAGACGCGAAAGCGUGGGGAGCGAACAGG
rnacentral:rRNA from 1 species